GAUGAACGCUGGCUACAGGCUUAACACAUGCAAGUCGAGGGGAAACGACGGGGAAGCUUGCUUCCCCGGGCGUCGACCGGCGCACGGGUGAGUAACGCGUAUCCAACCUGCCUCUGACUGAGGGAUAACCCGUCGAAAGUCGGCCUAAUACCUCAUGGCAUCGUCUGCGGGCAUCCAACGACGAUUAAAGAUUUCAUCGGUCAGGGAUGGGGAUGCGUCUGAUUAGCUUGUUGGCGGGGUAACGGCCCACCAAGGCUACGAUCAGUAGGGGUUCUGAGAGGAAGGUCCCCCACAUUGGAACUGAGACACGGUCCAAACUCCUACGGGAGGCAGCAGUGAGGAAUACUGGUCAAUGGGCGGGAGCCUGAACCAGCCAAGUAGCGUGCAGGAUGACGGCCCUAUGGGUUGUAAACUGCUUUUAUGCGGGGAUAAAGUGAGGGACGUGUCCUUCAUUGCAGGUACCGCAUGAAUAAGGACCGGCUAAUUCCGUG
rnacentral:rRNA from 1 species